rnacentral:rRNA from 1 species
CCCCUUAGUAUAGGUGACAGAAAAGGAACCUCCAGCGCAAUAGAAAAAGUACCGUAAGGGAAUGCUGAAAGAGAAAUGAAAUAACCCAGUAAAGCCUUAAAAAGCAGAGAUUAAUUCUCGUACCUUUUGCAUCAUGAUUUAGUGAGUGUUCCCCAAGCAAAGCGUACUUUAGUUUGACACCCCGAAACUAUGUGAGCUACUUCAAGACAGCCUAUUAAUAGGGCUAACCCGUCUCUGUGGCAAAAGAGUGGGAAGAGCUUUGAGUAGAGGUGACAAACCUACCGAACCUAGUUAUAGCUGGUUGUCCAAGAAAUGAAUAGAAGUUCAGCCUCUAAGCUUCUUCUUUCACCUGAACUUAAUCCCUUUAGAUGUAUUAAAGAAACUAAGAGAGUUAGUCAAAGGGGGUACAGCUCCUUUGAAUUAAGACACAACUUUAACAGGAGGGUAAAGAUCAUAAUAACCAAAGCUAGACAUUUUGGUGGGCCUAAAAGCAGCCACCCCCUUAGAAAGCGUUAAAGCUCAAACAUAUUACUUAUACCUUCUUAUCCUGAUCAAUAAAUCUCACCCCCCUAACCAUACUGGACCCUCCCAUGCCUACAUGGGUGUGAUUAUGCUAAUAUGAGUAAUAAGAGAGCCCCGCCUCUCUCCCUGCACACGUGUACCUCGGAACAGACAACCCACCGACCAUUAACGAUCCCAAACAAAGAGGGCAGUAGAUCAUAAACUAAAGACCUGGUAAAAUAUCUAUAAAUUAAUCGUUAACCCUACACAGGUGUACCCCAAGGAAAGACUUAAAGAAAGAGAAGGAACUCGGCAAACAUCUUAAGCCU